rnacentral:rRNA from 1 species
GAGUUUGAUCCUGGCUCAGGACGAACGCUGGCGGCGUGCCUAAUACAUGCAAGUCGAGCGAGCUUGCCUAGAUGAUUUUAGUGCUUGCACUAAAUGAAACUAGAUACAAGCGAGCGGCGGACGGGUGAGUAACACGUGGGUAACCUGCCCAAGAGACUGGGAUAACACCUGGAAACAGAUGCUAAUACCGGAUAACAACACUAGACGCAUGUCUAGAGUUUGAAAGAUGGUUCUGCUAUCACUCUUGGAUGGACCUGCGGUGCAUUAGCUAGUUGGUAAGGUAACGGCUUACCAAGGCAAUGAUGCAUAGCCGAGUUGAGAGACUGAUCGGCCACAUUGGGACUGAGACACGGCCCAAACUCCUACGGGAGGCAGCAGUAGGGAAUCUUCCACAAUGGACGAAAGUCUGAUGGAGCAACGCCGCGUGAGUGAAGAAGGGUUUCGGCUCGUAAAGCUCUGUUGGUAGUGAAGAAAGAUAGAGGUAGUAACUGGCCUUUAUUUGACGGUAAUUACUUAGAAAGUCACGGCUAACUACGUGCCAGCAGCCGCGGUAAUACGUAGGUGGCAAGCGUUGUCCGGAUUUAUUGGGCGUAAAGCGAGUGCAGGCGGUUCAAUAAGUCUGAUGUGAAAGCCUUCGGCUCAACCGGAGAAUUGCAUCAGAAACUGUUGAACUUGAGUGCAGAAG